rnacentral:pre_miRNA from 1 species
AAUCUACUCCCUCUGUUCUGAAUUACUUGUCGUAGGUAUGGAUGUAUCUAGAUGUAUUUUAGUUCUAGAUACAUCCAUUUCUGCGACGAGUAAUUUGGAACGGAGGGAGUAUAAG